GAUGGUAGUACUAUGAUAGGUAGUAUAGAUGUGUAGUGAGAGGUGGUAUGAUGGUAGUACUAUGAUAGGUAGUAUAGAUGUGUAGUGAGAGGUGGUAUGAAGGUAGGACUAUGAUAGGUCAGUAGUAGAGAUGUGUAGUAGAGAGAGGUGGUAUGAUGGUAGUACUAUGAUAGGUAGUAGAGAUGUGUAGUGAGAGGUGGUAUGAUGGUAGUACUAUGAUAGGUAGUAGAGAUGUGUAGUGAGAGGUGGUAUGAUGGUAGUACUAUGAUAGGUAGUAGAGAUGUGUAGUGAGAGGUGCUAUGAUAGUAGUACUAUGAUAGGUCAGUAGUAGAGAUGUGUAGUGAGAGGUGGUAUGAUGGUAGUACUAUGAUAGGUCAGUAGUAUAGAUGUGUAGUGAGAGGUGGUAUGAUGGUAGUACUAUGAUAGGUCAGUAGUAGAGAUGUGUAG